AGAAAAGACAGCAGGUUGCACGCAUCGGUUUUCUCUAACAGCUCACUAAAUGUCAGGAGAAACGGAAAUAUUCCAAAGAAAGAUAGCACUUUCAUUUUUACGAGAUCUGGAGUUUGUCAUUGAAGGCUUUAUUCUGCCUGGGUUCCUUCCUGUGCUGCCUACUCUCCGUUUCCUGGUGCCAUGCUGCGCAGCCACAUACUCCGCCACGAUGAUGGAUUGAACCCUUCGAGUUCAUAAACAAAAUAAACCUUCCUUUCUUGGAUUCCGUCUCAAGCGCUUUGAUGAAAGCCGCACAAAGUUGAGGGAUGUGAUCCAUAACAGUGAAAAUGCCAAUAAUCCACGCAUCCAUCACCGAGAAAAGAAAUAUGUUUGGCAUCUCAGGGUAAUGGCAUUCUGGAAAGAAAAACAAAGACAGGCCUCUAAAACAUCGCAGAGCGAAGUAAGCCGCAUACAAACAAGCAAUUGACAUGAUUCUUCUGGGAGACUGGGCCCGCAUUGCAGUGUAUCUGCUAAGCAGGCCCAGGCAAGCAUUGAAGCAGCUGGUCACAUCUGGAUCCACAGUCAUCAAACAGGAAAAAUAGCAACUCCAGCGUAUGAAUAGAUCCGUUCUGUGGGUGACAGAGACAAAGAAGACUUGGCCAAGAAGACAGCUAAUGAAUAUGACAUGAUUUUCACCACUAGCAUACAAAAUGCCC
ensembl:lncRNA